UGUAAUUUCGCCCGGGUCGAUCGACCGAGGGGACCGUGGGUGAGGUGUCAGCGUUUUUCACGGCUCAGACAGUUGCUCCUCUCUCCCCACCCCUCUCGUCUCUGGCGACAGCGGCGCCACCUGAGACGGCGACAACGGCUGCACGCACCUGAGGGACCAACCGGAGGCGCGUGUAGCGAGCAGGAGGCGAUGUAGGCAGUGCAAUGAUCCGACGCGAGCUGGGCGGCGACAGUGGCCUUCUCUGGCGUUGCUCUUCACUGUCGGUGAUGUAGGUUGAUGGUGGAAAUUGAGAUUGGCGCUCGGAGGUGGGAUCAAUUCAGGAGGUGUAUCAUGGUGUAGGAGGAGAAGAAGGCCAGGUGGAUGGUGGACAGAAAGAGGAGGAGCUCAAGGUUGCGGAGGAGGAACAACAAUAGAGUAUCUUCUUAGAUCCAGCCAAUGGCGAUGACCUUGUUUCUACUCUUUUAUAGAUAAACUGCUCUUUUUCUUUCUUCCUGGGAGCUCCACCAUCUUGAAUGAACUGGACUGUCACCUAGUACUGAGAAAAACCAUGUUUGGCCAUUUUUAACUUAGAAUGGAGUUGGGAUGCUGC